CUACGGGUGGCUGCAGUGAGGAAUAUUGCACAAUGGAGGAAACUCUGAUGCAGCAACGCCGCGUGGAGGAUGACACUUUUCGGAGCGUAAACUCCUUUUAUAUAGGAAGAAGAUGACGGUACUAUAUGAAUAAGCGCCGGCUAACUCCGUGCCAGCAGCCGCGGUAAUACGGAGGGCGCAAGCGUUACUCGGAAUCACUGGGCGUAAAGAGCGUGUAGGCGGAUUAAAAAGUCAGAAGUGAAAUCCUAUAGCUUAACUAUAGAACUGCUUCUGAAACUCUUAAUCUAGAAUAUGGGAGAGGUAGAUGGAAUUUCUGGUGUAGGGGUAAAAUCCGUAGAGAUCAGAAGGAAUACCGAUUGCGAAGGCGAUCUACUAGGACAUUAUUGACGCUGAGACGCGAAAGCGUGGGGAGCAAACAGGAUUAGAUACCCCUGUAGUC
rnacentral:rRNA from 1 species